UUAAGUUAUUAAGGGCGCACGGUGGAUGCCUUGGCACUAGAAGCCGAUGAAGGACGUUACUAACGACGAUAUGCUUUGGGGAGCUGUAAGUAAGCUUUGAUCCAGAGAUUUCCGAAUGGGGAAACCCAGCAUGAGUUAUGUCAUGUUAUCGAUAUGUGAAUACAUAGCAUAUCAGAAGGCACACCCGGAGAACUGAAACAUCUUAGUACCCGGAGGAAGAGAAAGAAAAUUCGAUUCCCUUAGUAGCGGCGAGCGAAACGGGAAGAGCCCAAACCAACAAGCUUGCUUGUUGGGGUUGUAGGACACUCUAUACGGAGUUACAAAGGACGACAUUAGACGAAUCAUCUGGAAAGAUGAAUCAAAGAAGGUAAUAAUCCUGUAGUCGAAAAUGUUGUCUCUCUUGAGUGGAUCCUGAGUACGACGGAGCACGUGAAAUUCCGUCGGAAUCUGGGAGGACCAUCUCCUAAGGCUAAAUACUCUCUAGUGACCGAUAGUGAACCAGUACCGUGAGGGAAAGGUGAAAAGCACCCCGGAAGGGGAGUGAAAUAGAACCUGAAACCGUGUGCUUACAAGUAGUCAGAGCCCGUUAAUGGGUGAUGGCGUGCCUUUUGUAGAAUGAACCGGCGAGUUACGAUUUGAUGCAAGGUUAAGCAGUAAAUGUGGAGCCGUAGCGAAAGCGAGUCUGAAUAGGGCGUUUAGUAUUUGGUCGUAGACCCGAAACCAGGUGAUCUACCCUUGGUCAGGUUGAAGUUCAGGUAACACUGAAUGGAGGACCGAACCGACUUACGUUGAAAAGUGAGCGGAUGAACUGAGGGUAGCGGAGAAAUUCCAAUCGAACCUGGAGAUAGCUGGUUCUCUCCGAAAUAGCUUUAGGGCUAGCCUCAAGUGAUGAUUAUUGGAGGUAGAGCACUGUUUGGACGAGGGGCCCCUCUCGGGUUACCGAAUUCAGACAAACUCCGAAUGCCAAUUAAUUUAACUUGGGAGUCAGAACAUGGGUGAUAAGGUCCGUGUUCGAAAGGGAAACAGCCCAGACCACCAGCUAAGGUCCCAAAAUAUAUGUUAAGUGGUAAAGGAUGUGGCGUUGCCCAGACAACUAGGAUGUUGGCUUAGAAGCAGCCAUCAUUUAAAGAGUGCGUAAUAGCUCACUAGUCGAGUGACACUGCGCCGAAAAUGUACCGGGGCUAAACAUAUUACCGAAGCUGUGGAUUGUCCUUUGGACAAUGGUAGGAGAGCGUUCUAAGGGCGUUGAAGCAUGAUCGUAAGGACAUGUGGAGCGCUUAGAAGUGAGAAUGCCGGUGUGAGUAGCGAAAGACGGGUGAGAAUCCCGUCCACCGAUUGACUAAGGUUUCCAGAGGAAGGCUCGUCCGCUCUGGGUUAGUCGGGUCCUAAGCUGAGGCCGACAGGCGUAGGCGAUGGAUAACAGGUUGAUAUUCCUGUACCACCUAUAAUCGUUUUAAUCGAUGGGGGGACGCAGUAGGAUAGGCGAAGCGUGCGAUUGGAUUGCACGUCUAAGCAGUAAGGCUGAGUAUUAGGCAAAUCCGGUACUCGUUAAGGCUGAGCUGUGAUGGGGAGAAGACAUUGAGUCUUCGAGUCGUUGAUUUCACACUGCCGAGAAAAGCCUCUAGAUAGAAAAUAGGUGCCCGUACCGCAAACCGACACAGGUAGUCAAGAUGAGAAUUCUAAGGUGAGCGAGCGAACUCUCGUUAAGGAACUCGGCAAAAUGACCCCGUAACUUCGGGAGAAGGGGUGCUCUUUAGGGUUAACGCCCAGAAGAGCCGCAGUGAAUAGGCCCAAGCGACUGUUUAUCAAAAACACAGGUCUCUGCUAAACCGUAAGGUGAUGUAUAGGGGCUGACGCCUGCCCGGUGCUGGAAGGUUAAGAGGAGUGGUUAGCUUCUGCGAAGCUACGAAUCGAAGCCCCAGUAAACGGCGGCCGUAACUAUAACGGUCCUAAGGUAGCGAAAUUCCUUGUCGGGUAAGUUCCGACCCGCACGAAAGGCGUAACGAUUUGGGCACUGUCUCAACGAGAGACUCGGUGAAAUCAUAGUACCUGUGAAGAUGCAGGUUACCCGCGACAGGACGGAAAGACCCCGUGGAGCUUUACUGUAGCCUGAUAUUGAAAUUCNGAAAAGGAUGUGGCGUUGCCCAGACAACUAGGAUGUUGGCUUAGAAGCAGCCAUCAUUUAAAGAGUGCGUAAUAGCUCACUAGUCGAGUGACACUGCGCCGAAAAUGUACCGGGGCUAAACAUAUUACCGAAGCUGUGGAUUGUCCUUUGGACAAUGGUAGGAGAGCGUUCUAAGGGCGUUGAAGCAUGAUCGUAAGGACAUGUGGAGCGCUUAGAAGUGAGAAUGCCGGUGUGAGUAGCGAAAGACGGGUGAGAAUCCCGUCCACCGAUUGACUAAGGUUUCCAGAGGAAGGCUCGUCCGCUCUGGGUUAGUCGGGUCCUAAGCUGAGGCCGACAGGCGUAGGCGAUGGAUAACAGGUUGAUAUUCCUGUACCACCUAUAAUCGUUUUAAUCGAUGGGGGGACGCAGUAGGAUAGGCGAAGCGUGCGAUUGGAUUGCACGUCUAAGCAGUAAGGCUGAGUAUUAGGCAAAUCCGGUACUCGUUAAGGCUGAGCUGUGAUGGGGAGAAGACAUUGUGUCUUCGAGUCGUUGAUUUCACACUGCCGAGAAAAGCCUCUAGAUAGAAAAUAGGUGCCCGUACCGCAAACCGACACAGGUAGUCAAGAUGAGAAUUCUAAGGUGAGCGAGCGAACUCUCGUUAAGGAACUCGGCAAAAUGACCCCGUAACUUCGGGAGAAGGGGUGCUCUUUAGGGUUAACGCCCAGAAGAGCCGCAGUGAAUAGGCCCAAGCGACUGUUUAUCAAAAACACAGGUCUCUGCUAAACCGUAAGGUGAUGUAUAGGGGCUGACGCCUGCCCGGUGCUGGAAGGUUAAGAGGAGUGGUUAGCUUCUGCGAAGCUACGAAUCGAAGCCCCAGUAAACGGCGGCCGUAACUAUAACGGUCCUAAGGUAGCGAAAUUCCUUGUCGGGUAAGUUCCGACCCGCACGAAAGGCGUAACGAUUUGGGCACUGUCUCAACGAGAGACUCGGUGAAAUCAUAGUACCUGUGAAGAUGCAGGUUACCCGCGACAGGACGGAAAGACCCCGUGGAGCUUUACUGUAGCCUGAUAUUGAAAUUCGGCACAGCUUGUACAGGAUAGGUAGGAGCCUUUGAAACGUGAGCGCUAGCUUACGUGGAGGCGCUGGUGGGAUACUACCCUAGCUGUGUUGGCUUUCUAACCCGCACCACUUAUCGUGGUGGGAGACAGUGUCAGGCGGGCAGUUUGACUGGGGCGGUCGCCUCCUAAAAGGUAACGGAGGCGCUCAAAGGUUCCCUCAGAAUGGUUGGAAAUCAUUCAUAGAGUGUAAAGGCAUAAGGGAGCUUGACUGCGAGACCUACAAGUCGAGCAGGGUCGAAAGACGGACUUAGUGAUCCGGUGGUUCCGCAUGGAAGGGCCAUCGCUCAACGGAUAAAAGCUACCCCGGGGAUAACAGGCUUAUCUCCCCCAAGAGUUCACAUCGACGGGGAGGUUUGGCACCUCGAUGUCGGCUCAUCGCAUCCUGGGGCUGUAGUCGGUCCCAAGGGUUGGGCUGUUCGCCCAUUAAAGCGGUACGCGAGCUGGGUUCAGAACGUCGUGAGACAGUUCGGUCCCUAUCCGUCGUGGGCGUAGGAAAUUUGAGAGGAGCUGUCCUUAGUACGAGAGGACCGGGAUGGACAUACCUCUGGUGUACCAGUUGUCGUGCCAACGGCAUAGCUGGGUAGCUAUGUGUGGACGGGAUAAGUGCUGAAAGCAUCUAAGCAUGAAGCCCCCCUCAAGAUGAGAUUUCCCAACUUCGGUUAUAAGAUCCCUCAAAGAUGAUGAGGUUAAUAGGUUCGAGGUGGAAGCAUGGUGACAUGUGGAGCUGACGAAUACUAAUCGAUCGAAGACUUAAUCAA
rnacentral:rRNA from 1 species